rnacentral:rRNA from 1 species
CGGGUUGUUAAGUAAGGAGUGAAAUCCUGGAGCUCAACUCCAGAACCGCCUAUAAUACUGGCAAUCUCGAGUCCGAGAGAGGUGACUCGAACUGCGAGUGUAGAGGUGAAAUUCGUAGAUAUUCGCAAGAACACCAGUGGCGACGGCGGCUCACUGACCCGGUAGUGACGCUGAGGUGAGAUAGCGUGGGGAGCAACCAGGAUUAGAUACCCUGGUAGUCCACGCCGUAAACGAUGGCUGCUAGCCGUUGGUGGGUUUACCGUUCAGUGCCGCAGCUAACGCGUUAGGCAUCCAGCUUGGGGAGUACUGUCGCAAGAUUAAAACUCAAAGGAAUUGACGGGGGUCCGCACUAGCGGUGGAGCAUGUGGUUCAAUUCGAAGCAACGCGAAGAACCUUACCAGCUUUUGACAUCUCGGUAGCGAGCACCAGAGAUGGAGCUCUUCAGUUCGGCUGGACUGGAGACAGGUGCUGCAUGGCUGUCGUCAGCUCGUGUCGUGAGAUGUUGGGUUAAGUCCCGCAACGAGCGCAACCCUCGCCAUUAGUUGCCAUCAUUUAGUUGGGCACUCUAAGGGGACUGCCGGUGAUAAGCUGGAGGAAGGUGGGGAUGACGUCAAGUCCUCAUGGCCCUUACAGGCUGGGCUACACACCUGCUACAAUGGCGGUGACAGAGGGAUGCAAAGGAGCAAUCCUUCGCAAAUCUCAAAAAGCCGUCUCAGUUCGGAUUGUGCUCUGCAACUCGAGCACAUGAAGUCGGAAUCGCUAGUAAUCGCAGAUCAGCACGCUGCGGUGAAUACGUUCCCGGGCCUUGUACACACCGCCCGUCACACCAUGGGAGUUGGCUUUACCUGAAGGCGGUGCGCUAACCCGCAAGGGAGGCAGCCGACCACGGUAGGGUCAGCGACUGGGGUGAAGUCGUAACAAGGUAGCCGUAGGGGAACC